AGCUUGGUCCUGACUUUAUUAUAAGCUCUAACCCAACUUACACAUGCAAGUCUCCGCGCCCCCGUUGAAAAUGCCCUCAAUUCCCCGCCCGGGGAUAAGGAGCUGGCAUCAGGCACAAUAUAUUAGCCCAAGACGCCUUGCUUAGCCACACCCCCAAGGGAACUCAGCAGUGAUAGAUAUUAAGCCAUAAGUGAAAACUUGACUUAGUUAAGGUUAUUUAGGGUUGGUAAAGUUCGUGCCAGCCACCGCGGUUAUACGAAAGACCCUAGUUUAUAAGCACGGCGUAAAGGGUGGUUAAGGGUUAUAUAAAAUAAGGCCAAAGACCUCCUAAGCCGUUAUACGCUAUAUGAAGGCACGAAGCCCAAACACGAAGGUAGCCUUAAUAAACUACACCUGACCCCACGAAAGCUGAGAAACAAACUGGGAUUAGAUACCCCACUAUGCUCAGCCCUAAACCUAGAUGAGUAUAUCACGAAACCAUCCGCCAGGGGACUACAAGCACAGCUUAAAACCCAAAGGACUUGGCGGCGCCUCAGACCCCCCUAGAGGAGCCUGUUCUAGAACCGAUAACCCCCGUUAAACCUCACCACCCCUUGCCUUACCGCCUAUAUACCGCCGUCGUCAGCUUACCCUAUGAAGGCCCAACAGUAAGCAAAAUGAGUUCAACCCAAUACGUCAGGUCGAGGUGUAGCACAUGAGGUGGGAAGAAAUGGGCUACAUUUUCUAUUACAGAAUAUUACGAAUAGUGCCCUGAAAACAGCACCUGAAGGAGGAUUUAGUAGUAAAAAGCAAGCAGAGAGUCCUUUUGAAUUAGGCUCUGAGGCACGCACACACCGCCCGUCACUCUCCCUUAUCUUAAUAUAAACUAAUUAUACUUAAUUAAUAAUACAAAACUACGGGGAGGCAAGUCGUAACAUGGUAAGUGUACUGGAAAGUGCACUUGGAACAAUC
rnacentral:ncRNA from 1 species